AGAGGAGAAGCAACAGAUUAUUACUGAAGAUUAUGAAAAACUGAAACUCAAUGUAGCUGAUAUGGAGGAACAAUAUCUGAAGGAGAAACAGAUCAUUAUUGACGACAGUCAAAAUCUCAUUUCUGAGAAAGACAAAGUUAUAGCCAAACUGACAUCACAAGUAGAGGAACAAUCACAGAAUGAGAAACAGA